rnacentral:rRNA from 1 species
AUUACGGGGGGACUCCUACGGGAGGCAGCAGUGGGGAAUAUUGCACAAUGGGCGCAAGCCUGAUGCAGCCAUGCCGCGUGUAUGAAGAAGGCCUUCGGGUUGUAAAGUACUUUCAGCGGGGAGGAAGGGAGUAAAGUUAAUACCUUUGCUCAUUGACGUUACCCGCAGAAGAAGCACCGGCUAACUCCGUGCCAGCAGCCGCGGUAAAUCAUCUGCCC